CCUACGGGUGGCUGCAGUGGGGAAUAUUGGUCAAUGGGCGCAAGCCUGAACCAGCCACGUAGCGUGAAUGAUGACUGCCCUACGGGUUGUAAACUUCUUUUAUAGAGGAAUAAAGUGAGGCACGUGUGCCUUUUUGUAUGUACUUUAUGAAUAAGGAUCGGCUCACUCCGUGCCAGCAGCCGCGGUAAUACGGAGGAUCCGCGCGUUAUCCGGAUUUAUUGGGUUUAAAGGGAGCGUAGAUGGGUUGUUAAGUCAGUUGUGAAAGUUUGCGGCUCAACCGUAACAUUGCAAUUGAUACUGGCAGUCUUGAGUACAGUUGAGGUAGGCGGAAUUCGUGGUGUAGCGGUGAAAUGCGUAGAUAUCGCGCAGAACCCCGAUUGCGAAGGCAGCGCGCUGGGCUGCCACUGACGCUGAGGCACGAAAGCGUGGGGAUCGAACAGGAUUAGAUACCCGGGUAGUC
rnacentral:rRNA from 1 species